rnacentral:rRNA from 1 species
UACAGAGGUCCCAAGCGUUGUUCGGAUUCACUGGGCGUAAAGGGUGCGUAGGUGGUGAGGUAAGUCGGAUGUGAAAGCUCGGAGCUCAACUCCGAAAAGGCAUUGGAAACUACCUUGCUCGAGGGUUGGAGGGGGGACUGGAAUGCUUGGUGUAGCAGUGAAAUGCGUAGAUAUCAAGCGGAACACCAGUGGCGAAGGCGAGUCCCUGGACAACUCCUGACGCUGAGGCACGAAAGCGUGGGGAGCAAACAGG